CCGAAUGAGCAGUGGUAGGCAGAGGACAGUGGCUGGGAAGACCAUCAGCAAUUAAUGUUCUCUUGAAAGCGACAUAUGAUAUUAUCAAUUAGACAUUUAGAUGGCUACUGAGGCCGCGCGUGCCACCGGAGGGAAUCCCCACCACCAUAGUCCACCGACAGCUUCUGCUUCUUCAUCUGACACCUCUCUCCCCUUUCACCGGACCCUAUCCUUCUUUCUACCAGCUCUCGAGCUUGACUUGUUGACUCGAAUUCGAGUAUGGCCAAGCUAAUGAGCAGCUGAAUUCAUACCUCAUUUUGUUUGGUGCUAUAGUACAAAAUUUUCUGUCCACUAUUGGUGAGGCAGAGCUUGUUGCUUAUUUACCAAGGGAUC
rnacentral:misc_RNA from 1 species